GCUCAAACUGAACGCUGGCGGCAGGCCUAACACAUGCAAGUCGAGCGGAAACGAUGGAAGCUUGCUUCCAGGCGUCGAGCGGCGGACGGGUGAGUAAUGCGCAGGAAUUUGCCCAGCAGUGGGGGAUAGCCCGGAGAAAUCCGGAUUAAUACCGCAUAUACCCCGGGGGAAAGAGGGCCUCUCCUUGGAAGCUCUUGCUGUUGGAUGAGCCUGCGUCGGAUUAGCUAGUUGGUAGGGUAAAGGCCUACCAAGGCGACGAUCCGUAGCUGGUCUGAGAGGAUGAUCAGCCACACUGGAACUGAGACACGGUCCAGACUCCUACGGGAGGCAGCAGUGGGGAAUAUUGGACAAUGGGCGCAAGCCUGAUCCAGCCAUGCCGCGUGUGUGAAGAAGGCUCUAGGGUUGUAAAGCACUUCAACCUGGGAGGAAAGGUUAAGGUUUAAUACGCUUUAGCUGUGACGUUACCAACAGACUAAGCACCGGCUAACUCCGUGCCAGCAGCCGUGGUAAUACGGAGGGUGCAAGCGUUAAUCGGAAUUACUGGGCGUAAAGCGCGCGUAGGUGGUUUGAUAAGUUGGAUGUGAAAGCCCCGGGCUCAACCUGGGAACUGCAUUCAAAACUGUCUCACUAGAGUACGAUAGAGGGGGGUAGAAUUUCAGGUGUAGCGGUGAAAUGCGUAGAGAUCGGAAGGAACAUCAGUGGCGAACGCGGCCCCCUGGAUUGACACUGACACUGAGGUGCGAAAGCGUGGGUAGCAAACAGGAUUAGAUACCCUGGUAGUCCAUGCCGUAAACGAUGUCAACUAGCCGUUGGAAGACUUGAUCUUUUAGUGGCGCAGCUAACGCAAUAAGUUGACCGCCUGGGGAGUACGGCCGCAAGGUUAAAACUCAAAUGAAUUGACGGGGGCCCGCACAAGCGGUGGAGCAUGUGGUUUAAUUCGAUGCUACGCGAAAAACCUUACCUACUCUUGACAUCCCGUGAACUUUCCAGAGAUGGAUUGGUGCCUUCGGGAACACGGUGACAGGUGCUGCAUGGCUGUCGUCAGCUCGUGUCGUGAGAUGUUGGGUUAAGUCCCAUAACGAGCGCAACCCUUGUCCUUAGUUGCCAGCACGUAAUGGUGGAACUCUAAGGAGACUGCCGGUGAUAAACCGGAGGAAGGUGGGGACGACGUCAAGUCAUCAUGGCCCUUAUGAGUAGGGCUACACACGUGCUACAAUGGUCGGUACAGAGGGCUGCCAAGCCGCGAGGUGGAGCGAAUCCCUUAAAGCCGAUCGUAGUCCGGAUCGGAGUCUGCAACUCGACUCCGUGAAGUCGGAAUCGCUAGUAAUCGCGAAUCAGCAUGUCGCGGUGAAUACGUUCCCGGGCCUUGUACAGACCGCCCGUCACGCCAUGGGAGUGGAUUGCACCAGAAGUGGCUAGUGUAACCGUAAGGGACACGGUCACCACGGUGUGGUUUAUGACUGGGGUGAAGUCGUAACAAGGUAGCCGUAGGGGAACCUGCGGCUGGAUCACCUCCUUU
rnacentral:rRNA from 1 species